UGAGGAGGGCUACAAAUGAAAUGUAUGACUGUGGCAACUCAACUGUUGUUAAUCUUCUUUCUAGCAGCAGAAAGAACUCUUGCAACACUUCUCGUCCUGCAGAUGACAAGAAAGGCUCAGCCACUCUCUCUGGCCACAGAUGGUUGGCCCAGUGUGCAGGUGCUCCUAAGAGUAGCCUAUUAGUGACUGUGAAAGCAUCCCCCGCCCAUCCUCCAAGACCCAAAACAGUCCACCAACCAUCAUAGAUGGCUCAGCAGCAAUGAGAAUGAAAUUGGGAGUCCAUAUACCGGGCAGAAUGAUCUUACAAUGCUAAAAAGAGAAUGAAAGCAAAGGAGGGAUGGUAAGCAAAUUCUAUACACCUGCGGUACUGCUGGUAAGCUUUCUGUACCCCAGAGCCCAGGAAGAAGGGGGUCUGGGAAUACCUCAGGCAGUCACUAUGCCUGGAUGUUGUCAGGCUCACCCUGGGAAGGGUAACUCCAGCAAAAGGAGCCCCUCCUCCUGAGAAUUUUGCACUGCUCUCUCGUCCCACUCUCCCUGGGCUUCUCUAUCAGCUCACAGUUGGUGUGUUUCCCUCUUUCUACACUGAGCUAAAGGUGCUAACUCUGCUGCUCAGAAUGGCUUGGGGACACUGUUUAUCACAACUGGAUUGAUAGUUCCCAAACUUUAUUAAAUACUUAUACUUCUGACCUUGGCGAGCAAGCAUAACUGCCUGCAAAUGUCACAAGGCUGUAUUCCAAAGAUAGGACCAGCUGAACCAGUCUGGAGAGUGUCCAGGGGGAGUUUUUGCUUGCAAAAAGAAUCAGAAAUUCCUGGGCAGGAGAAAAGUGAGGAGAGAACAUGGGGAUGUAAGCAAGCGUCCCCCCCACCCCACCCCUCCCGGCAUCUUCUUUGAAUACCUAACUUCUUGUCCCAGUUUCCUUUUCCCCAACGCAUAGUCAGCAGUAGGACAGGAGCCAUUCACACAUAUUUAAAAACAGAGUCACUUCUGACUGUCUCUCAGAUGCCACCUUCCUCUCUCCUCUCAACACUCCUCCCUCCUGGACACCUGGGUGGCUCAGUCUGUUAAGCAUCUGCCUCUGGCUCAGGUCAUGAUCCCAAGGUCCUGCGAUCGAGGCCUGCAUUGGGCUCUCUGCCCAGCGGGGAGUCUGCUUUUCCCUCUAUCCCUCCCCCCUGCUUGUGCUCUCUCUCUCUCAAGUAAAAUAAAAAAUCUUUAAAAAAAAAAAGAAAGAAAGAA
rnacentral:lncRNA from 12 species